GGGCAUGUGGUGUAGUUGGUUAUCACACUCGCUUACAUAGCAUCGGCAUGCCGACCUGUGCGAGGGGGGCCUGGUUCAAUUCUGGGCAUGUCCA